rnacentral:tRNA from 1 species
UCCCCGGUCGUCUAAUGGUAGGACAGCGGCCUUUGGAGCCGCGAAUCGAGGUUCGAAUCCUUGCCGGGGAGCCA